GGUGGCUCAGUGGUAGAGUACUUGCCUUGCAUGCAUGAGGUCCUGGGUUUGAUUCCUCAGUACCA
rnacentral:tRNA from 1 species